rnacentral:rRNA from 1 species
UAAUACGUAGGAGGCGAGCGUUAUUCGGAUUUAUUGGGCGUAAAGAGGGCGUGGGCGGCUUUUCAAGUCGGAUGUAAAAUCUCCCGGCUCAACUGGGAGGGACCAUGCGAUACUGUUAGGCUAGAGGACAGCAGAGGGAGGUGGAAUUCCCGGUGUAGUGGUGAAAUGCGUAGAUAUCGGGAGGAACACCAGUGGCGAAGGCGGCCUCCUGGGCUGUUUCUGACGCUGAGGCCCGUAAGCGUGGGGAGCAAACAGGAUUAGAUACCCUGGUAGUCCACGCCGUAAACGAUGGACACUAGGUAUGGGGAGUAUCGACCCUCUCUGUGCCGAAGCUAACGCUUUAAGUGUCCCGCCUGGGGAUUACGGCCGCAAGGCUA